CUUCUGGCAGUUCCCUCAAUGCGAGAUGUGAGGUUUGGACUGGUCAGUUCAAGACGGCUCUACCACACCCAGAACCAUGUGCAUACUGUUGCCAAGCCUGGAUAGCCUAGAUAGCUCAGUUGGUUAGAGCGCGAUGCCAAGGUAGCAGGUUUUAUCCCCAUAUGGGACACUUGCAUAUUCCUGCAUUGCAGUGGGUUGCACUAGAUGAUUCUUAGGGUCUUCCAGCUCUACGAUUCUAUAUUUCUAUGCUUUUCAGUAUGAAAAUUGAGGAUUGGGUGCAGGGCAAAUCACCCUUGUACUUUUGUUGUUGUAUGGUCCAGGCAAAGUUAAGCACUUUAACCAACCCUUGGGAAAACUACAUCUCACAUGAUCCUUCAGCUUUUGCACCUCUUGUGCAGCUGUUACCUGGCACUGAAGGGAGAUGGAGGGAAAAACAUGAAAGGGAUGAAUCAUUUUUCAAUUCUCCCUGCACACCUACUAAGUAAAUUUAGCUGUGCAUUUUGAGGAUCAGGCCUUUUAGAAACACUGAAGAACUUGCUAUGCAUAGGAAUGAAAACUGCAUCGCGUACUCCAAAAAAAUAAAUUGUGUGUGAGUGUGUGGGAUUCCAUAGCUAGGUGAUGCUUUGCUCCUUCUGCUUAUACAUGGAUAAAUCUCUGUGUUUGACUGAGCUGAGGUUUGCCUGUGGAAAGAUUUCAGGUAGCAAAGAGAGAGAUUACGGUGUGCCUGGCUAAGGGAUAAUAUAAGUUAACAUGACAGAGUCAAAGCUUUUGCUUGAUUAUUUUCCACUGGAAACACAGCUGGCAUGACUUUUUGUUUGAGUGGCCUGUUGCUCAGUCGUGCAGACAGCAUCCCUUAGGCUCCUUGUAAGCUCAUUGCAGAGUUCAUGAAUAAAAGGGUUGUUUUCUUAAAGGUGUCAGUCGGAAAAAUUGCAAUGUGAUCCUGCUGUAAUGUGCAUACUUCAAAACUGGAAAUCAAGUAUAAGCCAAGUUUUAUGAUGGUGGUUUAAGAAAAUAUUUUUAAAUUAUUUCUAAACAAAUUGUAUAUCAGGGACCUGAUUCGUCAACUAGGAGGUCUGGAGAGAUGUAAAUGCAACAAUUGCAAUCUUUGAGUCAUAGUUUAAAUUCAUCAGUGCAGAUGAUAAAUCAAAGAAAUUAUAGUCAAAGAAGUCAAGGCUGUAAUCCUAUACCCAUGCAUAGGUUUGCAAUCCAGUAACACAUUCCUGAGAGUAAAGUCAUAAUGAAGUCAAACAUGAGGUGCCCGUGAAAGUUCAAAGGGUAUUGCUAUAACCAACCAUUAGCUGAGAGAUAGCAACAGGGACUUCGUUUGAAAGUGCGCUCUCAGAGCCAAUUAGAUGAUUGGCAGUGGAAGCACCCCUUCAAAGAGGCAUGUCCUAUUAUUAUUAUUUUAAUUUAUCUACUGCCUUUCAUCCAGGGGUUACAGGGCAGUUUAGAGUAGAAAAAAGCGUGUUCUCCUUCAUGGAGAGCACGUGUUGCGGUGGGGGCCUCCAGGACACUCCAAAGUUGGGGGCGGGCUAAUUGAUCGUUGGCCACUGAUGCGAUUGGGGCUUCCCUUGUUGUUGGGAAGAAGUUAAUGUUGCCAUUUGUUGAUUGACAGCCAGAAAUGCUAAAACUCCUUGCACAGGUUAGGGCUUCCUCUUUUCGCCCGUGCAUCGGAUUGCCCGUCUCCCCCCCCCCCCUAGAAUUAGGGUUGUUCGCUUUGACCUUGCUAUGCCUGUCAUGGGAUCGUCUGCUCUUGGGGCAGGGGCCCGGUAGGAAUUUUGUCCAUCUGGCUGAUUGGCUGGGGCCAUUUGGUUUUUGCCUACUGUGUAGCAAAUCGUCACAACUUGUAAGGUUGCGGUUAGGCAUUGGUUUAUGGUUUGGUUGGUUGAGGGGCAUGGAUUGGCUGUGCCUGCCCCUCUAAUGCUGCUGCUGCAAGGGAUUCCGUUAAAGGAAUCAGGGGCUAACUAUUGCUUGUCCACUCUGUCAAGGGGGCUCGGGCCAUAGCAAUGAGCUCCUGGUUGCAUUUGGGGAGGGCUGAGGGCAGGUUCCCUACUCCGUCGCUACCCCGAAGUGUAUUCCCCUUUUCUGACUUUCGCAUUGUGUGGAAUGUCAGUCUGUCCCCCAUGGUGGGGGCAAAUAGUCGCAACCAAUGCCUAAGCAACCACUCACAUUUUUGUAUUUUAAUAAAGUUGUGGCCAAAAUUAUGCCAAAAACCUUAAACAAAAAAUUCUGUGUGAUGUGUGAGUUAUUGGGGUGGCCCUGGGGACCUCGACAUGCAACACAAAAAUACAUAACAUAAUAGCAGACAAAACACAUACCCCUCCCCCCAGUUUAAAGGGCCAAUUCAAUUAGCUAAAGGCCCAGUGGCUAAAAAAUGCAAGGGAGGUGCCAGGUGAGUCUCCUUGGGGAGAGUGUUCCACAAACAGGGAGCCACCGCAGAAAAGGUCUGCCACCCUCUGGACCUCUCAUGGAGGAGGCACGUGAAGAAAGGCCUUAGAUGAUGAUGGCAGGGUCCAGGUUGAUACUGCUGCUGUAGGAGAGGGACUUUGAGCAACACCGUGGGACGGGGUGUUUCUAGAACUAAGGUGAAACUGUGAAGCUCCCUUGUCAUUUUUGCUAUUGCAUGCUACAUGGUGUGUAAGUAAUUUUGUUAUAUUUACAGUAUUGGAAUGUGAGUUUUUUUUGGUAUGUUGUUAUAUUUUCUGUUGUUUUGCUAUGCUAUAAAACCAUUGCUAUGUUAUUUUGAAAUUAUAUUUGCAGUGUUCGUUCGAAAUGCAUCCCUGCUUCUUUGUUGUAAGCUGCUUUGAGCACGAUUUCUUUUGUGGAAAAGUGUCAUACAAAUAGAUGAGUGAAUAUAGGGAGAGGCGGUCCUUGAGGUAUUGGGAUCCUGAGCAGUGUGAAGCAGAUUGCGUUGCAAUUGCUUGCACAAAUGAGCAGCGUUGUGUGUGUGAAAGGGCUCUGUCCUAGCAAGCAGUUUCAAUGCAAACUGCUUUGCACUAAUGGAGCUAGUCCCUUUGAAGGGGUGCCCAUGCUGAUCAUCAGCUGAUUGAUGGUGGAAGCACACCUUCAAAGGGGCUUGCUGCAUUAUCACAAAGGAGUUUGCAUUGCAUCCUCUUGUUAAGACAGUGCUCUCCCCAUUUUAGCAAGUGUUUCCAAUGCAAUCUGCUGUGUACUAAUGGAGCAACCCCCUUUGAAGGUGGAGUCCCACUGCCAAACAGCUGAUUGUCAGUGGGAGCAGCCCUUUAAGGAGGCAUGCUCCAUUAGCACACAGCAGAUUGCAUUGAAAACGUUUGCUAAAAUUGAGCUCCCCUCCCUCUGUGCAGUGUAAAGCGUACUAGACCAGAUGAACAAACAGGCUGGUGUAGUCUAAGGCAGCUUCUUAUGGGAGCUUGGAAGUCUGUGAUUCACUCUUAGCUCCCACUGCUGUAAUUUGGGGGUUAAUGAGCUCCCCUUAAGAUCUGUUGUGAGGAUGAGUGAGAAAAUACAUGUGAAAUGCUGAGUAGGCUCUCAGAAAAGUAACUGUAUAAAAAUAGUGCUCACAAAUCUUUAGUAAAUUGAUUAUAUUUAUUAAAUUUAUAGCCCAGCCUUCCCAGACCCUCCAAGUGUCCCUAUUUUCCAGGGAGAAUCCUGGAUUUACAGAAGCUGUUCUGGUUUCUGGUUUGAUCCUGGAAUGCCCCACUUUUCCUUAGGACAUCCCUAUUUUCAUCAGAGAAAUGUUGGAAAAUAUGGAGUUAUCUGACCCCUCAAGCCAUCUGAAGGCAGACCUGUGUAGGGAAGUUUUUAAAUGUUUAAUGUUUUAUUAUGUGUGUGUGUGUGUGUGUGUGUGUGUCCAUGUGUAUCUCUCUCUCUCUCUCUAUCAUCUAUCUACCUAUAUAUAGCUUCCCAGAGUGGCUGGGGCAACCCAUUCAGAUGGGCAGGGUAUAAAUAGUAAAAUUAUUGUUAUUAUUAUUAUGGAACAGGGCAUCCUUAUUUUCAUUGGAGAAAUGUUGGAGGGUAUGUCUUCUUCUCAAAGGAGCCCAUGGCAGAAAACAACAAGUGAUAAAACAAUAGAUUCAUAUUAAGAACAAUCCCAAUGCAGGCUGGGAAAUAUCUCAACUUAGAAGGCUUUUGGAAGAGGAAGGUGCC